GACGAACGCUGGCGGCGUGCCUAAUACAUGCAAGUCGAGCGGAUCUUCAUUAGCUUGCUUUUGAAGAUCAGCGGCGGACGGGUGAGUAACACGUGGGCAACCUGCCUGUAAGACUGGGAUAACUUCGGGAAACCGGAGCUAAUACCGGAUAAUCCUUUUCCUCUCAUGGGGAAAAGCUGAAAGACGGUUUUGGCUGUCACUUACAGAUGGGCCCGCGGCGCAUUAGCUAGUUGGUGAGGUAACGGCUCACCGAGGCGACGAUGCGUAGCCGACCUGAGAGGGUGAUCGGCCACGCUGGGACUGAGACACGGCCCAGACUCCUACGGGAGGCAGCAGUAGGGAAUCUUCCGCAAUGGACGAAAGUCUGACGGAGCGACACCGCGUGGAGGACGAAGGCCUUCGGGUUGUAAACUCCUUUUCCAGGGGAAGAAUAAGGGUAAGAGGAAAUGCUUAUCCGAUGACGGUACUCUGGGAAUAAGCCACGGCUAACUCUGUGCCAGCAGCCGCCGUAACAC
rnacentral:rRNA from 1 species